UGAAGUAACCAUGAUGAAGUUCUCUAUCAAGACCAACAAACAAAAGCAGCAGCAGAUGAAUCAAUCUAACCCAUCUCUGGUGAAGGUGCGUCACCACUGCCUACAUGCACAGCAACGACAACAUGUUACAUUUGAGCCUCAGCACACCAAUAUUAAUUAUCCAGUAACACGCCGGGCAAUUUUAUCUAGAAUACGUUACAAGGACAAGGUUGAAGUCUCAAACCGAGCUAACAGAAUGUCACUAUUUUAGUAUUUUCAGAAGUAUGUGUGUACCUUGAUAGUAGACAGGAGGAGCACAGCCUGAGAAACAGAGACUCGGACCAAGGCUCCGCGAUUUUUAACUACAGCUCCGCCUGCUCCGGGCGCGGAGUUGUGGAGCGGAGGACCUCAAUUUCA
rnacentral:lncRNA from 1 species